GCUGGGCACGGUGGCGCGUGCCUGUAAUCCCCAGUGGCUUGGGAGGCUGAGGUAGGAGGAUCGAGAGUUCAAAGCCAACUUCAAUAAAAGUAAGACCCUGUUUCUA
rnacentral:sRNA from 1 species